rnacentral:rRNA from 1 species
CGCGUGCACUGGUCCGGCCGGGCCUUUCCCCUCUGUGGAACCGCAUGCCCUUCACUGGGUGUGCCGGGGAAACAGGACUUUUACUUUGAAAAAAUUAGAGUGCUCCAGGCAGGCCUAUGCUCGAAUACAUUAGCAUGGAAUAAUGGAAUAGGACGUGUGGUUCUAUUUUGUUGGUUUCUAGGACCGCCGUAAUGAUUAAUAGGGACAGUCGGGGGCAUCAGUAUUCAAUUGUCAGAGGUGAAAUUCUUGGAUUUAUUGAAGACUAACUACUGCGAAAGCAUUUGCCAAGGAUGUUUUCAUUUAUCAGGAACGAAAGUUAGGGGAUCGAAGACGAUCAGAUACCGUCGUAGUCUUAACCAUAAACUAUGCCGACUAGGGAUCGGACGAUGUUAUUUUUUGACUCGUUCGGCACCUUACGAGAAAUCAAAGUGCUUGGGCUCCAGGGGGAGUAUGGUCGCAAGGCUGAAACUUAAAGAAAUUGACGGAAGGGCACCACCAGGGGUGGAGCCUGCGGCUUAAUUUGACUCAACACGGGGAAACUCACCAGGUCCAGACACAAUGAGGAUUGACAGAUUGAGAGCUCUUUCUUGAUUUUGUGGGUGGUGGUGCAUGGCCGUUCUUAGUUGGUGGAGUGAUUUGUCUGCUUAAUUGCGAUAACGAACGAGACCUUAACCUGCUAAAUAGCCCGUAUUGCUUUGGCAGUACGCCGGCUUCUUAGAGGGACUAUCGG